UGACGUCGUAACAAGGGAGUCGUAUCGGAAGGUGCGGCUGGAUCACCUCCUUUCUAAGGA
rnacentral:rRNA from 1 species